AUGCUAGUUCAGUGGUAGAAAAUGAAAGCCCACUGUCAGCCAUGAGACUCUUAGGCACACAGCUGUGGCAAUACCAGAAAGCCUUCCAGAAGAAGGAAAUCCCUUUCUGGUGGUAAGCAUUGCAUUUUGCAAUGAAAGAAUAGCAAGGGAGCCUUUUGUGAAUUCUUGCUAGCAGCCUCAGAAUUGGAGCAUCUGCUGCUGCCUGGAGGUGAGUCUUGGGCUCUCUUGUCAUUUAUCAUGUGGAAAGUUAUCUUUUGAACUUUAUUGGAAUUAAUACAGUUAACCAAUUUAGGAGAAUGUAAAUUUGCAUUUUUGUGGUCUUCUAAUGGCUAUAAAUAAAGCUUCUAUUUAAGGCUGGCAUUAUAUCAACCCACCUGCUUCUACCAGAGAGAGAGAGAGAAAAAAAAAAUCAGAAUCACUCAACCUGCAGAUUGCUGUCAGCUUGUGAUUAUGUGAAUGCAGUACUUUUGCUGGAGUGAGAAUGAGCAGUCUUCCUUGGGAAUGGCUUUGAAGCCAUUAAGGGGAGAGUAACAGAUUUGUGUCCAAAGUUUGCAAAAGUACUCUCUGCUGCCCAACAUGCAAAUCUAAAAUCAAGUCAGAUAAUAUUCCUUGAGGCUUUCCGUAUACAAAGGCAAAGAUAACUCUAGAACUCCUCAAUCAGAAAAUGAAACCUCAAGACAUACUCUGAGGUGUUGAACAGUUAACGUCAACAGUUCCUAAAGGAUAGUUGGAAAGAAAUACUCUGAGAAGAUGAUGAACCAGAGAUGAGUACUAGGAGCAAAAUUUGGUCCAUGUGCUGAUCCAAGCUGUUAUUCCCCACCAUGCUAUGGUCUAGUAGGAUCUAACAAAGAGGUACAAAUUGUGGCACACCACCUUCUGAAGAAACCAAGGGCUUUGUUACAGUAAACUGGUCCAGGGCGAUAUCACAAGUAUAAAAAAUAUUCCAUUCUGUAUCAAAACUAGGCACAUGCCUUUAUUUAUAGUAACAGAAGUUAACAGAGUUGAGCAUUGUUGCCUUGGGUCCUAUUUCUUGGCAUCCUACAUCAGACAAACGCAUCUUUCAACAUAUAUCCGCCCAUAACUCCAGGGAUCUAGUCUCAGGGUUAUCUCUAUGUAAAGGAAGGUGAAAUCACACUUGGAUCUAUAGUGGUGAGUAACUAAAAGCACAACCUCUCAUUCAUAUUGCUUUAAAACCUAUACAGCAUAUAUGUUUCAAAAAAAAAGAGUAAAGAAUAUAUUGAU
rnacentral:lncRNA from 1 species